rnacentral:rRNA from 1 species
CCCUUAGAUGUUCUGGGCCGCACGCGCGCUACACUGACAGGGCCAGCGAGUACAUCACCUUAACCGAGAGGUUUGGGUAAUCUUGUUAAACCCUGUCGUGCUGGGGAUAGAGCAUUGCAAUUAUUACUCUUCAACGAGGAAUGCCUAGUAGGCACGAGUCAUCAGCUCGUGCCGAUUACGUCCCUGCCCUUUGUACACACCGCCCGUCGCUACUACCGAUUGAAUGGCUCAGUGAGGCCUUGGGAUUGGCUUAGGAGGGUUGGCAACGACCCCCCAGAGCCGAAAACUUGGUCAAACUCGGUCAUUUAGAGGAAGUAAAAGUCGUAACA